rnacentral:lncRNA from 1 species
UUUUGCGCCUUUAAUUCAUUAUGUUUUAAGCACUUUUGUGUAGUAGUUCUCCAUCUUUAUCCCAAUUGGCAUGUUAAGGACCUAGCAAUGACUUCUAAUCAUAUUUGUGGCUAGUUUUAGUAUUUUGACAGCUUUUUGGAUCAUUAAGACAAGCCAAGCAAAGGAGAGAAGCAAAGAGAAGCAAAGAGGAAAAUCAAGCAAAGUGAAGAAAAUAGAGGAUAGCAGCUGCAGUCUU